AACGAACGCUGGCGGCAUGCCUAACACAUGCAAGUCGAACGAGACCUUCGGGUCUAGUGGCGCACGGGUGCGUAACGCGUGGGAACCUGCCCUUAGGUUCGGAAUAACUCCCCGAAAGGGGUGCUAAUACCGGAUAAUGCCUUCGGACCAAAGAUUUAUCGCCUUUGGAUGGGCCCGCGUUGGAUUAGCUAGUUGGUAAGGUAAAAGCCUACCAAGGCGACGAUCCAUAGCUGGUCUGAGAGGAUGAUCAGCCACACUGGGACUGAGACACGGCCCAGACUCCUACGGGAGGCAGCAGUGGGGAAUAUUGGACAAUGGGCGAAAGCCUGAUCCAGCAAUGCCGCGUGAGUGAUGAAGGCCUUAGGGUUGUAAAGCUCUUUUACCCGGGAUGAUAAUGACAGUACCGGGAGAAUAAGCUCCGGCUAACUCCGUG
rnacentral:rRNA from 1 species